CACCAGCCCCUCGAGUGGUGGGGACUAUUAUUUGGCCUAAAGCGUCCGUAGCUGGCUGUAUCCGUCUCCCGGUAAAUCCGGCGUCCUAAGCGUCGGUUCUCGGGUGAUACCAUACAGCUAGAGGGUGGGAUAGGUGAGCGGUAUUUCUGGGGUAGGGGCGAAAUCCUUUGAUCCCAGGAGGACCACCAGUGGCGAAGGCUGCUCACUAGAACACGCCUGACGGUCAGGGACGAAAGCUGGGGCAGCGAACCGGAUUAGAUACCCGGGUAGUCCCAGCUGUAAACGAUGCUAGCUAGGUGUUGGGUCGGCCACGCGCCGCCCCAGUGCCGCAGGGAAGCCGUUAAGCUAGCCGCCUGGGGAGUACGGCCGCAAGGCUGAAACUUAA
rnacentral:rRNA from 1 species